ACAUAGCUCUCUGCUAAAGCUAAAUGCUGAAGUAUGGAGGGUGAGGCCUGCCCAAUGGUUGUAUCUAAAAGAGUUGGCUAAGGUCAACUUCAUAAGGGCAAUUGAAUGGCCGCGGUAACACUGACCGUGAUAAUGUAGCGUAAUCAAUAGCCAAUUAAUUGUUGGCCGGUAUGAAUGGCGUCACGAAGGCCCCACUGUCUUAAGAGGACUCUCCAUGAAAUUGAAUUCGUAGUGAAGAUGCUACGUCCAUAUUGUAAGACGAAAAGACCCCAUUGAGCUUUACUAAAGACUUGCAUGGCUCAAAAUAAUUUGAUUUAAAUAAAGAGUUUAGAUAAUGUGGGAUCCGUUUCCGGUUAAUGAAACACCACUCUUUUAUUUUAAGAGAGCUAACAUUACAGGGAUAGUGUAAGUUGGAUAGUUUGGUUGGGGCGACCACCUUUUAAAAGGUAACGAAGGUGAGCUUAAGGUCCGUAGUUAAUAGCCGGUGGCCUGACUGCAAGGGAAACGUCUCGAGCAGACACGUCCUUAGGGAUGUGGACUAUAGUGACCCGUCAUCUUAGUGUGGAAUAGUUGACGAUCAACGAAUAAAAGCUACCAUGGGGAUAACAGCGUUAUAUCGUUAGAGAGUUUUAUCGACGACGAUGUUUGCGACCUCGAUGUUGAAUUGUGGCACCCUGGGGUGCAGCCGCCCCCAAGGGUUGGUCUGUUCGUCCAUU
rnacentral:rRNA from 1 species